UAGUUACCUGUCGAGACUAUAAGAAGAAUUUUGAGGAAGAAUUUGAUCAAGAAGACCAAGAGAGAUGGUUUGCUUUGGAGAGGAAUUAGAUAAGGCCCAUGAGUCCUAAAGAUAAUACAAUCAAUCCAACUGUUAA